CUGGAAUCAACACCUUCAUGACUGUGAUAGAAAUGGCUAUGAAACCAAACCGUGGACUCCAAUCUCAGGGAGCUUGGGUUUCUUGGCUACCACCAGAUGUGUUGAAGGAGCUGUGCUUGAUGGCAUCCUCAAAGCAUUUAGCAUCCCAUAAGUACUGAGUUACCAGUAAUGACAAAAUGGAGAGGAACCUUGGACAAAUAAAUCACAGGUAGUAAUAUCAAAUGCUGAUGUUCCUGAAACAAAGAGAUUUGAGAGACCAACAGGACACCUGGAAAUAGUUUUCUACUCCUCUGCUUACUUAGAAGAGACAGUGAAGUAGAAAUGAAGCCUUCCUAUGUAUGUUUGUGUUCUGAUUUCUUUCUCUGUUUUUUGCUACACUUCAAGAAAUAUUAUGCAGUUAAUUUCCUUAACUUUCAGUAUUUUAUAAAAAUACUAAAAGGCAUUUGAUCUUAAACACAUUAAAUAAUGCAGUCC
rnacentral:lncRNA from 1 species